rnacentral:rRNA from 1 species
UACGAAGGGGGCUAGCGUUGUUCGGAAUUACUGGGCGUAAAGAGUGUGUAGGCGGUGCUCUAAGUUCGGUGUGAAAUCUCCUGGCUUAACUGGGAGGGUGCGCCGGAAACUGGAGUGCUCGAACGUGGGAGAGGAAAGCGGAAUCCUGGUGUAGCGGUGAAAUGCGUAGAUAUCAGGAGGAACACCUGCGGUGUAGACGGCUUUCUGGACCAUUGUUGACGCUGAGACACGAAAGCGUGGGUAGCAAACAGG